UUUCUGUAGGGGAGCCAGAGAGGCAAAACAGAUGUACCAAGAAGUUCAGUAACAUCCCGAUCGCGUUACCAGAAGUCACAAAGCCGGGAUGUCAGAGUCUGAGUUACUAAUGACUACUCUACGUUGACAUUGGUGUUGAAAUAGAAAUGAUAACGAGGCGCAUACUAUUGACAGGCAGAGGGACAGUGAGUGCGAGUUCCUGAGGUGGUGCUGUUCUGUUCGAAUCACGGAGCACAAACACCUAAUGCUAGGAGGGCGUCUGGAUCUACCGUAUCCCCUGCGCUUAGUUACUAGGCUGGGUGAGUGAGGGGUGUCAAGGGGAAGGUCAUCCAGAUGGACACUAGAAUUCUGGUCUCCCGGCCCCCAAGGCAGCGCGCACUUCCUCUAUUAUUCCAGAAUCAACCAAAGCCGUCGGAGGGGACUUUUUCUACCUGCAGUGUCCUCUCCUGCUUGGAACUCUUCUUGAGCGUUCUUUCCGGGGAACCUCCGUACGCUCGCCUCCUCUGUGAAGCCUUUGACCCGUGCCUCCGGGUAGGACCGACCUCCACUUUGUUUCCUCAGCUACGUUCUGCGAGUUGCACAUUUGUCUUCCCCCGAGGAGACAACAAAUUUGGGAGCAGGUGGGAGUGGGUGAGGGUGGAAUGUCGUGGGGGCCGGGAGGGUGGGGCGCAGAAGCAUCAAGAACCGCGCUCUGAGCAAGAGGGCUGAGAGAAGAAGGCUCCAAGGACAAACUCGCACCAGAGUAGUGGCGCCUCCACCCAGGACAGAGGCAGGACGUGCCGCACCUGCCGGGGCACCCGCGGCAGCGGCCGCUGAGGCUGUGUCCUGAAAUAGACUGCACACCAGGUGAGCGCGUGUGCACCAGCCUUCCCGCGCCCAGGCCUGGCACGCAGCCCAGAGUCAGGCACAGAUCCAAAUUAGGCUCCAGUUCCCUCUGUAAGCAAACAGCAGGACAGGGAACAGAGGCGCCUGCUACUUUUGAGUGGAUCAACGCCUUCUCUGCUGGAGAUGGCCUGAAGUGCUCAGGGAUCAAGCCAGGCCCCUUUGCUGAGCCAGCCGGGCCUCGGUGGUGCUGGGGGGACGUGAUUGGGGUUUUGCCUCCGAUUGCGAGAGCUGAUUAUCUGGCCUGGGCUAUCUAUCUGGAUCCUAGACAUUUUGAAAUAGAAAACAGCGAUGAAGGGCAUGAUAGAAAGAACCUCGGCUUUGCAGUCAGACCGGUCUAGGGUUUUUCCCACUGAGGGACCAUGGGUAUCACUUAACUCUCUGCGCCUUAGUUUACCCUUCCAUAAAAUGGUGGUGUUAUACUAUGUGAUGUAUGCCCUACUGAGGGUUAUAUGCGAUACUCCGCUGUAUCCUGGCAUCUAGUGCUUGCCCCAGAGUGGUGGUUCUCAACGAGGUGCCCCAGAGCAGUGGUUCUCAACGAGGGGCACCUUUGUCCUCCGGGGCACACCUGGCAAUGUGCGGAGACAUUUUUGAUAGUCACAACCGAGGGGUGUGCAACUGACAUUUAGCAGGGAGAGGCCGGAGAUGUUGUUAAAUGUUUGCUACUGCACAGGACAGCCCCCUCUCCCUCCCCAACAGUGCUGAGGUUGAGAAAAUCUGACGUAGAGUAAGUUCAUCCAUCUGGAGCCUGUAACAAUGGUACCUAUUAAAAUAUAAUUAUUAUCUCUUUCCACUUAUAUUUACUGAAUACAUAUAUAUUCAGGAA
ensembl:lncRNA